AAUAAACUGUUCCAAAUUGAAACCCAAAUUCACCCCCAAAUCAAUGAAGAACCCUAAAAUUCGCCACCAAAAUCCCAGCAGAAAAUCUUGAUGUUCGGAAACUAUACACACACACAGACAAUUGACUCAACGAGAGGCUGAUUAGCUGGUAGUAUGGUUUCUUUAUACGCGAGAAGAAUGGGUAAAUAAGGAGCUCGGCAUUUCGAAUGAAAUGGAAAGUGGAAUCUGAUGCUCCAUUCGGCCCCCAGAGCAAAGGAAAAAUGGAAUUUUGAAAGAAAUGAAAAGUGGAAAAGUAAACUCCACUUGGGACUUUGACUAAAAAGAGAGGUGACUGGUUUAUUGCGAGAACCUCUGUUUUUCACUUUCAUGCUGCAUCCAUGAGUCUGGAAUAACUUAUUGAAGUUUAUGAGCGUAAGAAAACUGCUUGGUAUCAACUUGUGGUCUACUCCAAUUCGAGAAUGAAUGCAAACAAAAGUGUCUUCAUUAUUGGUGCCACCAACAGGCCUAAUAUAAUCAAUCAUGCGCUUUUUCGUCAUGGACGUCUCGAUCAAUUGAUUUACAUCUGUAAAUAAGUAAAAUUGUCUUAAAGAUUGGAACCACCAUAUUAACAUUUUUCCCUGUAUUGUAGUAGGAAAAUUGAUGGCUUGUUUUCUGAUUGUAUUGAAGCUAUAAAUGAAUGGAAUGGAAUUUAAU